rnacentral:misc_RNA from 1 species
GAUGAAGACGUAGCGAAAUGCGAUAAGUACUGUGAAUUGCAGAAUUCAGUGAAUCAUCGAAUCUUUGAACGCACAUUGCGCCCAUUAGUAUUCUAGUGGGCAUGCCUGUUCGAGCGUCAUUAAGUCCACUUAAGCCCUGCUUAGUGUUGGGAGACUGCUCCAGCGGUGCUACCCUGUAGCUACCCUGCAGCUCCUCAAAGACAGCGGCGGAGUUGUGGUAUCCUCUGAGCUUAGUAACUUGUUCUAGCUUUCGAGUACACCACUUCCCCUGCCGUAAAACCCUUAAUUUUUAAUGGUUGACCUCGGAUCAGGUAGGAAUACCCGCUGAACUUAAGCAUAUCAAUAAGCGGAGGA